AGGGUUCGAUUCUGGCUCAGGAUGAACGCUAGCUACAGGCUUAACACAUGCAAGUCGAGGGGCAGCAUUUCAGUUUGCUUGCAAACUGGAGAUGGCGACCGGCGCACGGGUGAGUAACGCGUAUGUAACCUACCUAUAACAGGGGCAUAACACUGAGAAAUUGGUACUAAUUCCCCAUAAUAUUCGGAGAGGCAUCUCUCCGGGUUGAAAACUCCGGUGGUUAUAGAUGGACAUGCGUUGUAUUAGCUAGUUGGUGAGGUAACGGCUCACCAAGGCAACGAUACAUAGGGGGACUGAGAGGUUAACCCCCCACACUGGUACUGAGACACGGACCAG
rnacentral:rRNA from 1 species